GUUGUCGUCAGCUCGUGUCGUGAGAUGUUGGGUUAAGUCCCGCAACGAGCGCAACCCUUAAGCUUAGUUGCCAUCAUUAAGUUGGGCACUCUAAGUUGACUGCCGGUGACAAACCGGAGGAAGGUGGGGAUGACGUCAAAUCAUCAUGCCCCUUAUGAUUUGGGCUACACACGUGCUACAAUGGACAAUACAAAGGGCAGCGAAACCGCGAGGUCAAGCAAAUCCCAUAAAGUUGUUCUCAGUUCGGAUUGUAGUCUGCAACUCGACUACAUGAAGCUGGAAUCGCUAGUAAUCGUAGAUCAGCAUGCU
rnacentral:rRNA from 1 species